AUGAGAGNNNNNNNNNNNNNNNNNNNNNNNNNNNNNNNNNNNNNNNNNNNNNNNNNNNNNNNNNNNNNNNNNNNNNNNNNNNNNNNNNNNNNNUACAGCCAGCCUGACCCCGUCUACAGCCAACCUGAGCCCCUCUACAGCCAGCCUGACCCCCUCUACAGCCCACCUGUCCCCCUCUACAGCCAGCCUGACCCCCUCUACAGCCAACCAGACCGCCCAGACUACAUCGUCAGGGUUGACAGCCCUCAGCCAAUCACAGGGCAGGGAGACCACUGCGACCACGGAAACCACAACAUCAUUACCAGAGGUACUCGUUUGAUCUGCAGUAUCCAGGUUAUGACCACGACACCCCCCUCACCUGCAUGGAACAACCCGGAACCUUCGAACCCAACAAUGAUCAGGAGAUCUGGGAGUCUGAGAGAGAGGGUGGUGAUGAGGAUCCCCAUGCUAUGAGCCCUGUAGCUAACGGCUCAGCUAUGGGGGCUGGAGAGACUGGCUCUACAGGGGAGAACGGUAAUGGAAACUCUUACUAAGUCUGUAGUCCCCUGGUGUCAGGAAUAGACUGGGGAGAACAGUAAGGAGAGACUAAGUCUGUAGUCCCCUGGUGUCAGGAAUAGACUGGGGAGAACAGUAAGGAGAGACUAAGUCUGUAGUCCCCUGGUGUCAGGAAUAGACUGGGGAGAACAGUAAGGAGAGACUAAGUCUGUAGUCCCCUGGUGUCAGGAAUAGACUGAGGAGAACAGUAAAGAGAGACUAAGUCUGUAGUCCCCUGGUGUCAGUGAUACGUGAAAACAUACUGUGAGCAAAACUGAUAUCUCCAUCUUUCUCUCUCUGUCUCUUUCUGUUUCUCUCUCUCUGUCUCUCUCUCUCUUUCUGUUUCUCUCUGUCUCUCUCUCUCUCUUUCUGUUUCUCUCUGUCUCUCUCUCUCUCUCUCUCUCUCUCUCUGUCUCUUUCUGUUUCUCUCUCUCUCUCUCUCUCUCUCUGUUUGUCUGUCUCUCUUCGUCUCUAACAGAAGGAGAGAAGCAGGCUCAUGGUGAUAGUGAUGGAGACAGCUUCAACAACUUCUGUGCCAGUGAUGUCACUCCGCCCAUAAAAAGGGUUGGCUUUAGCCUGGACCUCGACCUGAGUGACAAGGUGUUACUCGGCUCCAGCCCUGACCUUUGACCCUUGAGUGACAUGGUGUUACUCGGCUCCGGCCCUGACCUUCGACCCUGUAUGUCCAGAUAACGUCUUCACCGAGAUCAAGAUGUACAUAGCACCUUUAUUUGAUCUAUAAAAUGUCAGAAUGUAAACGGCUCCAAAUCAGUUUUUACUUUCCUAUUUCUGAUACUGUAAUUCAUUUUAAUAAUGUUUUUUGAGCAUGACAAUACCAAGAGAGCGAUGCCACGUGGUUUUAGAAUAAUAAAUAAAAGUACUUAACAGAGGACUUGACGUGGUGUCUUGAUGUAGUAAUGUGUGUGUGUGUUUGGGUUGACGCGUGGAACUUAAAUGACUGUCGCUCCGUAGCACUUACUUCUGUCAUCGUGUAAGUGCUUCGAGAGACUAGUCAAGGAUCGUAUCACCUCCACCUUACCUGACACCCUUAGACCCACUUCAAUGCUUUGAGAGACUACUAGUCAAGGAUCAUAUCACCUCCACCUUACCUGACACCCUUAGACCCACUUCAAUGCUUCGAGAGACUAGUCAAGGAUCGUAUCACCUCCACCUUACCUGACACCCUUAGACCCACUCCAGCUUGCAUACCGCUCUGCCUCAAUAGAUCCACAGACGAUGCAAUCGCCUGUACACUGCCCCGUCCCAUCUGGACAAGAGGAAUACCUAUGUAAGAAUGCUGUUCAUUGACUACAGCUCAGCAUUCAACACCAUAGUAACCUCCAAGCUCAUCGUUAAGCUCAGGGUCCUGAUUCUGAAACCCCGCCCUGCGCAACUGGG
rnacentral:lncRNA from 13 species